UUCAUCCUUUGCUUCCCUGCUACGUAACCCUAAAAAACCUCGUUCCAUCUCAAAUGGCUACUUCACAAUCUCAAGCUGGCGACUCCUUUAGUUUCGAUGACUUUCAGAAACUCCUGAGUCGUCCAUACAUAACUCCGAGUUUUCUCGCGCCCGUCGAUGUUGAACGUAAUGAGUUCUACUUGGGUCCUUUCUUCAACAAUGCAGAGGCAGUUGAACAGGCGGCGGUGG
rnacentral:lncRNA from 1 species